rnacentral:rRNA from 1 species
CCUACGGGAGGCAGCAGUGGGGGAUAUUGGGCAAUGGAGGCAACUCUGACCCAGCAACGCCGCGUGGAUGAUGGAGGUCUUCGGAUUGUAAAGUUCUUUUCUAAGGGAAGAAGCAAGUGACGGUACCUUAGGAAUAAGCCUCGGCUAACUACGUGCCAGAAGCCGCGGUAAUACGUAGGAGGCAAGCGUUAUCCGGACGGACUGGGCGUAAAGGGUGCGUAGGUGGUUUGACAAGUUGGUAGCGUAACUCCGGAGCUCAACUUCGGAACUACUACCAAAACUGUUGGACUCGAGUGCAGGAGGGGGAAGCGGAAUUCCUAGUGUAGCGGUGAAAUGCGUAGAUAUUAGGAGGAACACCGGCGGCGAAGGCGGCUUACUGGACUGUGACUGACGUUGAGGCUCGAAAGCGUGGGGAGCAAACAGGAUUAGAUACCCUAGUAGUC